rnacentral:lncRNA from 1 species
GACAGGAUAAAAUUCUGUCUUUUUUAAGUCACCUAGUUUGUGUUCAUUUGUCAUGACAGCACUGGAAAUCUGAUAGAAUCCUCAUCCUUAUAUCGCCCUGGAGACCCAGGUACACUCUGCAAGGAGCUCUUCCUUCUGAAACCAGAGCAUAAGCCAAUGCCCUCUCCUGGGGAGCCUGCUUUGCCAUAGUCCACUGUGGCAGUUCUUUCUCCAGUGGGACCACAUCGGGAGGACCAGCCCGGAAAAGGAUAUCAUGCCACAUGUUUCAAAGACCAAAGCGAGGAGCCAGCCUUCGUCUGGAUUUUAUGAGAAAGAGCUUUGUUCUCUCUAGGAGCUCAUUCACAAGCAGAUACAUUGUGUUUUCUCUGCUGCAUCCUUCACACCUGGAACAGUAAUUCUCUCAGAAAAUGUGCUCAGUAGAUGAAUAAAAGAAGAGAAGAAUGCAUUUUCACCACGUACCUCCGAACAAUUCUAUGACCAACUACCUCAGCAAUUGGCAGUACUCUUCUUGGGUCCCCAGGUCUCAGCUGGUGGUUUUCCCAUAACCCGGAACCAAAGUUUUCAGGAAGAAUUUUGAAAUACUUUGUACUUUCUACAUAUGUGCACAUAACUCUUGGAGAUGGAUGUUACCACCUUUCCAGGGAUGGCUCAGGGAGGACGGAAAAAACUUCUACUCAGAAGAGAAGGCCAACAAAUGAAGCAGAGAGCUCAGACCCAGCCCUAAUGUCAUAUCUCUCAUUGUCUCCAAAUCCAAAUCGUAUAUCUGUAUCUUAGAGUCUUGUAAGCCUAACCUUGUGAAACGACAUCAUGUCCAAAAGUUAGUGGUUUUCUGGAGCAGCUCCUAAAACAAUGAACUAGGACCAGCAUCUGACAAACUGCUAUUGGAGUCCAAAGACCAAUAGCAGCUUAUAACGGCCAGUGGACAUUGGGGCAUAGUGGAACGAGCCUUUAAUGGAGCCAGACCUGGAUAAACACAGCAAGCAUCUCUGGCAACCAGGAAUAAAAAGAUGAAGAAAAUCA